GACGAACGCUGGCGGCGUGCUUAACACAUGCAAGUCGAACGGAAGGGCCCUGCUUUCGUGGGGUUCUCGAGUGGCAAACGGGUGAGUAACACGGGAGUAUCCCGCCCUUGACUUGGGGAUAACUUCAGGAAACUGGGGCUAAUACCGAAUAGCAGCUCCUGCUGCAUGGUGGGGGUUGGAAAGUUUCGGCGGUUGGGGAUGGACUCGCGGGUUAUCAGCUGGUGGGUGGGGUAGUUGCUAACCAAGGGUUUGACGGGUAGCCGGCGUGGGAGGGUGGACGGCGACCUUGGGCCUGCGGGACGGCGCAGAGUCGUACGGGAGGCAGCAGGGGGGAGUAUUGCACAAUGGGCGGAAGCCUGAUGCAGCAACGCCGCGUGCGGGAUGACGGCCUUCGGGUUGUAAACCGCUUUCGCCUGAGACGAAGCGUGAGUGACGGUAAUGGGUAAAGAAGCACCGGCUAACUACGUG
rnacentral:rRNA from 1 species